AUACGUAGGGUGCAAGCGUUAAUCGGAAUUACUGGGCGUAAAGCGUGCGCAGGCGGUUUUGUAAGACAGUGGUGAAAUCCCCGGGCUCAACCUGGGAACUGCCAUUGUGACUGCAAGGCUGGAGUGCGGCAGAGGGGGAUGGAAUUCCGCGGGUAGCAGUGAAAUGCGUAGAUAUGCGGAGGAACACCGAUGGCGAAGGCAAGCCCCUGGGCCUGCACUGACGCUCAUGCACGAAAGCGUGGGGAGCAAACAGGAUUAGAUACCCUGGUAGUCCACGCCCUAAACGAUGUCAACUGGUUGUUGGGGAUUUAUUUUCUCAGUAACGAAGCUAACGCGUGAAGUUGACCGCCUGGGGAGUACGGCCGCAAGGUUAAAACUCAAAUGAAUUGGCGGGG
rnacentral:rRNA from 1 species